rnacentral:rRNA from 1 species
UACGUAGGGUGCGAGCGUUAAUCGGAAUUACUGGGCGUAAAGCGUGCGCAGGCGGUUCGUUGUGUCUGUGGUGAAAGCCCCGGGCUUAACCUGGGAAUGGCCAUGGAAACUGGCGAGCUGGAGUGUGGCAGAGGGGGGUGGGAAUUCCGCGUGUAGCAGUGAAAUGCGUAGAGAUGCGGAGGAACACCGGAUGGCGAAGGCAGCCCCCUGGGGUUGACACUGACGCUCGAGGCACGAAAGCGUGGGGAGCAAACAGG